AAGUCAUGUUGAGAGCAAUGUUGUAGCAAUCUCUUGUAGCGCUCCCAAGCUUCGUAUAACGAGUCCCCCUAUAAUUGUUUGAAAAUUUGGAUAUUUCUCUUGAGUUU